CCUACGGGAGGCAGCAGUGGGGAAUAUUGCACAAUGGGGGAAACCCUGAUGCAGCGACGCCGCGUGAGUGAAGAAGUAUCUCGGUACGUAAAGCUCUAUCAGCAGGAAAGAAAAUGACGGUACCUGACUAAGAAGCCCCGGCUAACUACGUGCCAGCAGCCGCGGUAAUACGUAGGGGGCAAGCGUUAUCCGGAUUUACUGGGGGGAAAGGGAGCGUAGAAGGGGCUGCAAGGCAGGAGUGAAAGCCAAUGGCGUAACCAUGGUACUGCUCUGGAAACUGUAGGGCUUGAGUGCGGGAGGGGCAGGCGGAAUUCCUAGUGUAGCGGUGAAAUGCGUAGAUAUUAGGAGGAACACCGGCGGCGAAGGCGGCCUGCUGGACCGUAACUGACGUUGAGGCUCGAAAGCGUGGGGAGCAAACAGGAUUAGAUACCCCUGUAGUC
rnacentral:rRNA from 1 species